rnacentral:rRNA from 1 species
AGACAUACAGGUCGAGCAAGGAUGAAAAUCGGACUUAGUGAUCCGGUGGUUCUGCGUGGAAGGGCCAUCGCUCAACGGAUAAAAGCUACCCUGGGGAUAACAGGCUUAUCUCCCCCAAGAGUCCACAUCGCCGGGGAGGUUUGGCACCUCGAUGUCGGCUCAUCACAUCCUGGGGCUGUAGUAGGUCCCAAGGGUUGGGCUGUUCGCCCAUUAAAGUGGUACGCGAGCUGGGUUCAGAACGUCGUGAGACAGUUCGGUCCCUAUCCGUCGCAGGCGUAGGAAAUUUGAGAAGACCUGUCCUUAGUACGAGAGGACCGGGAUGGACGUACCUCUGGUGUACCAGUUGUUCUGCCAAGGGCAUGGCUGGGUAGCUAUGUACGGAAUGGAUAAGCGCUGAAAGCAUCUAAGCGCGAAGCCAACUUCAAGAUAAGAUUUCCCACCG